UUUUAUUCAUUCCACUAUAGAUUCUCUAGAUGCCCAAACAGGAACACUCACUUUCCCUCUUGUCCACCCUCGUUUCCUCUCUGUUUCCCAUUUUCAAGAAUUCAAAUUCCUCACCCCCCAAUCCCCAAAAAACACUCACAAAUUCUCCAUUUUUGAAAUUCAAUCCUCUCUAAAUUCCAUGGAAGAAGAAAAUCCAGUUGCCAAACAUCAAGAUUCCACGUCAGGUUCCCCUGAUCAUUCUCAGGUUUGUUCAAGAAAACCGAGCCUCAGUUCUCUAGAAAUACCAGCAAGGUCACUAGAAACAGAAUUUACGAAAAUCGAAAUAGCGCAAAGCCCUAGCUCAGCUAAACCAGGCUUGCCGCCGCGGCCGAGUUCAGCUAAAUUUAAGUCGACAGUGAAGAGUUUGCUUCCGCAGAGAAGUUUAAAAGCUAAAAAUUUAAUACAAGAUGGUGAAAAAACGGUGCUAAUUGUUCCUGAUACGCCGCCGUCUGAUAGUCCUGCUGCUAAGCCUUCUACUUCGAGGUCGUUUUCGCUUAAUAAAGUUCUGUUUCCGUUAAAAUCGACGAAUUCUUUGCCUGUUACGCCGUCUGCGAAUUCCGAUCCCGAGGCCCUGCAGGAGCGAAAUGUUAAUUCUUGUUCUGAUUAUGAUAAGGUAGAAGUUCAGCAUCAUAUAAGACGUUCAUUAUCAGUUCCGGUGAAUAUAAAAGUUAGGAGUUUAAGACGGACAGAUUCAGGUGGAGGUUUGUUUCGUGUGGUUUCAGCAACUCCACGUCCUGUGACAGCUGAUAGCACGUCGACGAAUGAUGCCUCUACGACAGAAAUUGCGAUUGAAGAUGAUGGUGAAGAUAUUCCUGAAGAUGAAGCGGUCUGUAGAAUUUGUUUGGUUGAGCUUAGCGAAGGUGGUGAUGCUUUCAAGAUGGAGUGUAGUUGUAAAGGAGAGCUUGCGCUUGCGCAUCAGCAAUGUGCUGUGAAGUGGUUUAGUAUCAAAGGAAACAAGACAUGCGAUGUUUGUAAGCAGGAUGUUCAGAAUUUGCCUGUAACAUUACUAAAGAUACAUAAUCCUCAAGCAACUGGUAGGAGGCCAUUACCUGCACCUCAGCAGAGGGAAGUUGCUCGUUACAGGGUUUGGCAGGAUGUACCAGUUCUUGUCAUGGUCAGUAUGCUAGCAUAUUUCUGCUUUCUGGAGCAACUACUGGUAUCUGACUUGGGCCCUCGUGCUCUUGCCAUUUCAUUGCCUUUCUCUUGUGUUUUAGGUCUCCUUUCUUCCAUGAUUGCUACCACCAUGGUAAACCGGAGUUACAUAUGGGCAUAUGCUUCCUUCCAGUUUGCUGUAGUCAUCUUGUUCGCUCAUAUAUUUUAUACCGUGCUCAAUGUGAACCCUAUACUCUCUGUCCUGCUAUCCUCAUUCACUGGUUUUGGGAUUGCAAUUAGCACAAAUUCUCUUCUUGUGGAGUACCUGAGGUGGAGGUCAAGCAGGCUAUUGCAAUAUUCUCAUCAGCAAAACAACAGAGCUGUGCAGCAGGCGCAGCAACUGCAACAACAGCAGUCCACACAGACAUGGCAUCAAGAGCAUCAACAACCCAGACAACAAUCCGUAGAAGAUUCCAAUGUUGGUUCCACUGAUAGCACAAGGCAACGAGAAGCUACAAUUCCAAAUUCGUAGUUCACAAAGAUAUGAUGAAGACAUUGAUUUUCUGCGAAGGUUGGACCUCUGCCGUAACCAAGAUUCAGGGUUUCAAGGGGCCAGGCAUUGCUUUUCGAUUCAGCCAUGAAAUUCCACUCAACCAAAGAAAAAGAAUGAUUUACCGAGUUUUUGGGGCAUAUGAGAAGCCUAUUUUUUUAUUUUUUAGAAUGCAGUGAGUCAUUCCAAACAGUUGACAACCAUGGUGAAGGUAUGCCUGUCAAGUCGUGAUCGAGAUUAGUCAAGUUCCAUCAUGAAGGCUGCUGCGGAUUCUGAAAUUUGAGGAAUGUUGGAAGCUUCAUGCUGUAUUGCUAACGAGAUAACCUCAUUGCCCUCGGAAAAAAAGGCAUGAAAGGGAUAUAUACACCUCGCUCUCAUGUCACUGUCCAGCCAUGGUCCUGGAUUUUCAAGUGUGGGUUAUGGUAAAGAGCCAAACUGACCAAGCGCAUCUUCAUUUUUGCUUCUCUGGAUUGCUCUAUUUAUUCUUGUGAUUUUCUAUUUAAAUUUUCCCUAGUGGCAUAGAAUCAAAUAAUGCUAUUGCACAUGUAAACUGGCGAUCAUUCAUGACCCCACGUGCCACCUCCAUGGGGGAGUGGCAUGAUAGUAUCUUAAACUAUAGGCAUAGGCCUCUGGAAGAGAUCCUUGUUGGCCUUUUAUUUUA